rnacentral:lncRNA from 1 species
GUGGAAAAUAUCAAAAAGCCUCUUUGGCUCAUUUCAGGAUGAAGGUCACAUCCAUAUUAAUUGCCCUGAUAAUGAAACCUUCCUAGAGGCCACCUGUCAGAACAUCUGGAGCUCUUGUUGUUACUGCUUCCAACAAGGCACCAUUUCCAUGCCUACGCCGACUUCAAAGACCCAUCUUCAAGGUUGAUGCACUUAGAUUCACGUCUGUUGGUCCAUGUCUGAUGCCUCAUCAUAAGGCCCAGACCCUAUGGGCGCCACUGGAUUUUCUCACUCCAGAUAUUGUUCUUUGUUUACUUCAUUUUAACCGGAAAGAAUCAGAAGAAAGUAGCGUUGAAAAGAAUUUGAAAUUCUUGUGCACUUCUGAAGUCCCUCUCACAGGUAAAUAGUAACUUAUUUAUGACUUCAAGCUUUUAU